CCUACGGGAGGCUGCAGUAGGGAAUCUUCCACAAUGGACGAAAGUCUGAUGGAGCAACGCCGCGUGAGGGAUGAAGGGUUUCGGCUCGUAAAACACUGUUGUAAGAGAAGAAUGACAUGGAGAGUGACUGUUAGGUGAGUGACGGUAUCUUAACAGAAAGGAACGGCUAAAUACGCGCCAGCAGCCGCCGUAAUACGGAUGUUUCAAGCGUUAUCCGGAUUUAUUGGGCGUAAAGCGAGCGCAGACGGUUAUUUGCGUCCGAAGUGAAAGCCCACGGCUUAACUGUGGAAGUGCUUUGGAAACUGGAUAACUUGAGUGCAGUAGAGGAGAGUGGAACUCCAUGUGUAGCGGUGAAAUGCGUAGAUAUAUGGAAGAACACCAGUGGCGAAGGCGGCUCUCUGGACUGUAACUGACGUUGAGGCUCGAAAGUGUGGGUAGCAAACAGGAUUAGAUACCCUUGUAGUC
rnacentral:rRNA from 1 species